CCAGAUAACACCCGAAACUCUCCCCAAAAUCUUAUUCCUCGUUUAAGCAAUUUGCAAACUAGCGCUAAGCGUCAUUCACGCCAAUUGACGCCAUAUGAAAGCUUCGCGCUAACGCGCUAGCAGGGCACGCUAAAGCCAUCAAGGAGCAGACUUAAUUCUUUUCACCGACAAGUUUCUUAAACAUUUUCUCCGUUAAACCGGACGAGGCCGAGGCCAUCGACCUCGGGUUCAGAAUACGUUUGAGGUCAAAAAAGGAAGCGUGCUCACUAAAGGCAGCGCAGCGACACGGGUCAUGCUUGUCCAAGUAGUGCUCGAGCGUGUCCCAGCCGCCUCCGACCCGCACCAUCACGUGAGUCCGAAGGACCUGAGAGGAGAAGACGCAUAACGAGGUGUCAGCAGACAAAGAAAACAGACAAUCGCGUCACCGUUCUCCCCCAAAUGUAAGAUGGCAGAAUGAUUUUCAAGUAUUGCAGCCACUGAUCUAAAAAAAAAAAAAAAAAAAAAAAAAACAGCGGUAUGUCAAUUGGUUGAAGCCAGUCGGCCGCCAUCUUGGUACUCCCAAAACGUGUGAAGGACAUGGUUUAUAAUUUGGAUUAUGGCGGGGGGUUUUUUUCUCAAAUUUUGGCAUGUAGAAU